rnacentral:rRNA from 1 species
UUCUGCCCUAUGAUUAUUUAAAUGGCUGCAGUAUUCUGACUGUGCAAAGGUAGCAUAAUAACUAGUCUUUUAAUUGAAGGCUUGUAUGAAUGAAUUAAUGAGGGACUUAUUUUAUUGUUUUUAAUUUUUAAAUUUAAUUUUUAAGUAAAAAAGCUUAAUUUUAUUUCUGGGACGAUAAGACCCUAUAGAACUUUAUUUUUUUUUGAUUGUGUUUUUCUUUGGUUUAUUAUGUCAAUUUUUAUCAAAAUAAUUUUUUAUUGGGGUGAUAAAUAAAUUAAAAUACUUUAUUUAAUUUUUUCAUUUAUAUAUGUUUUAAUGAUCCAUUUUUAUGAUUUUAAGAUAAAGUUACCUUAGGGAUAACAGCGUAAUUUUGAUGGGGAGUUCUUAUUUAUAUCAAAGUUUGCGACCUCGAUGUUGAAUUAAGAUAAAAUUAAGGGGCAG